GCCCCGGCCCCCUCCUCCCGGCCAUUGUCCUGCGCCCGCCCGACGGCUCUUAAGCCCAACCACGGCGGGGUAGCGCCGAAGCGGCUCCGAGCGGCCCAGGCCCCGGCGCCCUCGCCCCAGGCACGACUCUCCCCAUUUUCCACCUUCUCUAACGAGGAAAGGUCCGUGACCACAGCAGGCUCAUCAGGAUACAAGAGCAGGUUUCUACUUUGGGGCUGACAAAGACGAGGAGGAAACCAGAAUAAUGGAAAUGGUGUUUGUGCCUGCAGGGAUAAACAGGAAUUUUCUUAACCAGAUUGGAACCUCCAGCAGGAAAACAUCCUGCUGGAGCCCAAGUUAAUGAGUGCUCUCUGUCUCUCGGCUCUCCACUCGGCUCCCUGUGGAACAGGGAUGCACCCAGGGCCCCUCAGGCACCCUUUGGAAGGGAUUCCCGGGCAGGGCAAUGAACAUGAAGCCUGUCACCACCAGCGUGGGUUAUCCUCCUUGGAGCACCUGAUUCAGUGUCUCCUGAAGUCACUGGGAGUUUUUCCAGUGGAUCUCAAGUCAAGGCUCUUCCAAGUUGGCGCUGGCUUUGAUGGGCUUUGAGUGUGGCACACGAGGUACAAUGGGCUCUUUGUUCCUCUUGAGUUCCCCGGGAGGUGUGCUGAGCGAUGCUGAAAUCAUCCCAAAUAAAUGCAGAUUAAACCCU